rnacentral:lncRNA from 1 species
UGGGCAUCCCGAGAGAUCCAAGACUCUGGGGUCCAUCCGGGGAGUGGCUGUGGAGCGGCUAAGAGGGGAAGUGGGCAUUAGACAUGUCCUCUCUGGAAAGAAAAAGGUGAACACCCAGGAGAAGAGCUAGCAGGGAGAAGGAGGAGUGGGCCAUUCAUGAAGAAGAAAGGUCCUAGAUGGAGCCUUCUCAUCCUCAGAAACCACACUGGUUAAAU